GCAUGGAAUGAACAAAGGCUGCUCU
rnacentral:piRNA from 1 species